rnacentral:rRNA from 1 species
GGUACUCAGUUCGGAUUGCAGGCUGCAACUCGCCUGUAUGAAGUCGGAAUUGCUAGUAAUCGCGGAUCAGCAUGCCGCGGUGAAUACGUUCCCGGGCCUUGUACACACCGCCCGUCACACCAUGAGAGCCGGGAACACCCGAAGUCCGUAGUCUAACCGCAAGGAGGACGCGGCCGAAGGUGGGUUUGGUAAUUGGGGUGAAGUCGUAACAAGGUAAC